UGGUGUAAUGAGAGUAAGAUGGAUCAAAAGGGCAUUUUGGGCCAUGCCCUCCAAGGUCAGCCAAAGGCCCCAGGAAAAAUGAGUUUACUCUGAUAAAUUGCCUUUGCUCUUCAUCAGAGAUGACUCAGAUUCUUCAGAGACUAGAUGCUAACACGUGAAAUACUAUAAAAGGGAAGUUACUAGGGAACACAGGCUAAGUUUGAUAUAGUACAAAGUUAUAAUCUUAUAGAAUCUACAACAUUGUUAAACAGUUCAGAAGGCUGAAAGAAGUGGGACUCACUGCGCCCAAAUGAAGAAGGCUACUGUAAAAAGUACCUGGGAAAAUGGUGUGGCUUUAUCGGAGAAAGUGUAUCACUGGGGGCAGACGCCUCCUGUCCUUGGGAAGUUCAAGAUGAAAGAUCUUCACAUACCAAGUAUGAAAUGUUCACAGCAUCAGAACCAGAACUUCCCUGCAGAAGUCAGCUUCAGUUGCCCUGGCUCGCAGAUAUUUAUUGUCAAACUCCUCAGCCAGAGCCUACUCCAUGAAGACCAGCUUACCAGGCACCAACACUAGAGAACAAUUUUAAUGAAUGAGUCUGAAUAAUCUUGUUCGCAUUGUUCAUUCUGUAUGACAAUUUUGUCAUAAAAUGAAAAAAAUUGACAAAAUGUUAUUUUGCUGAAAUUUUCAUCUUUUAAAUACAAGA
rnacentral:lncRNA from 1 species